rnacentral:tmRNA from 3 species
GGGGAUGAAUGUCUUGACAGAGGACUCGUCUAAAAAAGGCAAGCCGAGCGUCCUUGAAUCUCGUUAAACUUUGAGGAAACAAAUAAGCGCCAACUUAUUUAACAAACCUGCGUUAGCAUACGUUUAACGCCAUCUUCACCGCUAACUCCCAAUAGGCGGAUGAAGGUGUCAUAUUAUUGGGAUAGAUGAUUUUUCGCCCCUAAAAUCAUUGAGGCAAUGGGGAUAAGAUAAUUAAUUUUUUUUCUGCUUCAUAUUUAAUUAUCCGAAAAUAAAAACAGAAUAAACUUGUAGAAUUAUUUUAGCCGAUCUUUUGGACGGGGCUUCAACGCCCCCAUCUCCACAC